UACGGGGGGAGCAAGCGUUGUUCGGAUUUACUGAGCGUAAAGGGCGCGUAGGCGGUCAGCACAGGUCAGUUGUGAAAUCUCCGGGCUUAACCCGGAAAGGUCAACUGAUACUGUGCGACUAGAGUGCGGAAGGGGCAACUGGAAUUCUCGGUGUAGCGGUGAAAUGCGUAGAUAUCGAGAGGAACACCUGCGGCGAAGGCGGGUUGCUGGGCCGACACUGACGCUGAUGCGCGAAAGCCAGGGGAGCGAACGGG
rnacentral:rRNA from 1 species